rnacentral:lncRNA from 1 species
CAUGAAUAUAUUAUGAAAAUGGACAUGUAGGUUAAACACCAUAAUGUUUAUUGCAUGACAUUUAAAAUGCUUAAAUCUGUUAGGUUAUUAUCUUUAAGGAAUUCCAUUUCUUCCCUCAUUUGGUCUAAAAAGACAUGAGAGCACCACUCCAUAUGGAUGAUUGCAUACCCUCUAACGAGAGUGGAUAUAAGAUAUGAUUGUAGGGGUCACUGUUG